CAGGUCACUCCUACGGGAGGCAGCAGUGGGGAAUCUUGCACAAUGGGGGAAACCCUGAUGCAGCGACGCCGCGUGAGCGAUGAAGCCCUUCGGGGUGUAAAGCUCUUUCGGCAGGGACGAUAAUGACGGUACCUGCAGAAGCAGCUGCGGCUAACUACGUGCCAGCAGCCGCGGUAAUACGUAGGCUGCGAGCGUUGUCCGGAAUUACUGGGCGUAAAGAGCGCGCAGGCGGUUAGGUAAGACAGAUGUGAAAUCCCCGGGCUCAACCCGGGAAGGGCAUCUGAGACUGCCUCACUAGAGUGCGGAAGAGGUAACUGGAACUCCCGGUGUAGAGGUGAAAUGCGUAGAUAUUCGGAGGAACACCUGAGGCGAAGGCGGGUUACUGGGCUGAUACUGACGCUGAUAUGCGAAAGCCUGGGGAGCGAACGGGAUUAGAUACCCCGGUAGUCCUGGCCCUAAACGAUGAAUGCUUGGUGUGUCGGGUAUUCCCCUCCGCAUUUGCCAAAUCUAACGCGUUAACUGUCCCCCCGGG
rnacentral:rRNA from 1 species